rnacentral:tRNA from 3 species
AAGCAUAACACUGAAGAUGUUAAGAUGAGCCCUAAACAGCUCCGCAGGCA